rnacentral:rRNA from 1 species
GAUGAACGCUGGCGGCGUGCCUAAUACAUGCAAGUCGAGCGAACGGACGAGAAGCUUGCUUCUCUGAUGUUAGCGGCGGACGGGUGAGUAACACGUGGAUAACCUACCUAUAAGACUGGGAUAACUUCGGGAAACCGGAGCUAAUACCGGAUAAUAUUUUGAACCGCAUGGUUCAAAAGUGAAAGACGGUCUUGCUGUCACUUAUAGAUGGAUCCGCGCUGCAUUAGCUAGUUGGUAAGGUAACGGCUUACCAAGGCAACGAUGCAUAGCCGACCUGAGAGGGUGAUCGGCCACACUGGAACUGAGACACGGUCCAGACUCCUACGGGAGGCAGCAGUAGGGAAUCUUCCGCAAUGGGCGAAAGCCUGACGGAGCAACGCCGCGUGAGUGAUGAAGGUCUUCGGAUCGUAAAACUCUGCUAUUAGGGAAGAACAUAUGUGUAAGUAACUGUGCACAUCUUGACGGUACCUAAUCAGAAAGCCACGGCUAACUACGUGCCAGCAGCCGCGGUAAUACGUAGGUGGCAAGCGUUAUCCGGAAUUAUUGGGCGUAAAGCGCGCGUAGGCGGUUUUUUAAGUCUGAUGUGAAAGCCCACGGCUCAACCGUGGAGGGUCAUUGGAAACUGGAAAACUUGAGUGCAGAAGAGGAAAGUGGAAUUCCAUGUGUAGCGGUGAAAUGCGCAGAGAUAUGGAGGAACACCAGUGGCGAAGGCGACUUUCUGGUCUGUAACUGACGCUGAUGUGCGAAAGCGUGGGGAUCAAACAGGAUUAGAUACCCUGGUAGUCCACGCCGUAAACGAUGAGUGCUAAGUGUUAGGGGGUUUCCGCCCCUUAGUGCUGCAGCUAACGCAUUAAGCACUCCGCCUGGGGAGUACGACCGCAAGGUUGAAACUCAAAGGAAUUGACGGGGACCCGCACAAGCGGUGGGGCAUGUGGUUUAAUUCGAAGCAACGCGAAGAACCUUACCAAAUCUUGACAUCCUUUGACAACUCUAGAGAUAGAGCCUUCCCCUUCGGGGGACAAAGUGACAGGUGGUGCAUGGUUGUCGUCAGCUCGUGUCGUGAGAUGUUGGGUUAAGUCCCGCAACGAGCGCAACCCUUAAGCUUAGUUGCCAUCAUUAAGUUGGGCACUCUAAGUUGACUGCCGGUGACAAACCGGAGGAAGGUGGGGAUGACGUCAAAUCAUCAUGCCCCUUAUGAUUUGGGCUACACACGUGCUACAAUGGACAAUACAAAGGGCAGCGAAACCGCGAGGUCAAGCAAAUCCCAUAAAGUUGUUCUCAGUUCGGAUUGUAGUCUGCAACUCGACUACAUGAAGCUGGAAUCGCUAGUAAUCGUAGAUCAGCAUGCUACGGUGAAUACGUUCCCGGGUCU